UCACAGGCUGAGGAUUUCUUCAGGGGACAACUGGCUAGCUAUAGAGGUCUGUGUUGCUUUCUUCUUUAAAUGUAAUGGAUUUUAUUGUGUGAAAGUAUUGGAUAAUAUUUGUAUUGUUGUUGCGGGAGGGUUGUUUCUCUUUUUUUUUCUAACCAAUAGUUUAAAAGAAGAGAAAAGAGCAUCUUCUUCUAUAGAGAAAUUGAAAUGUAAGAAACUUUCUAUUCUGCUAUUCCAAAAGUAAAGAUGUUCUUGGGAUCAAGUCAGUACAAUGCAUAAUUUCAACAUGUCCUUGUGGGAUGAUGGGAAAGAGCCUCUUUGUGUGCCUGUCUAUGUAGUUUGCUGGUUGACAGAUAUCUCAAGAGUCGCCAUAUGCAGUACGAAGAAUUGGACAACCUAUUAUUGGAUCUUCAUCGGUUUUCAGGUGAGAAUUGUUUUUGAUGAGUUUCAGAGUACUUCCAAGAAGUUGGAAAACAACCUUUGGUCUAGGAGGAAGUCCUACCAAUUGUGAGUGAAUCCAUUAAAGAAUGAAAUUGGCUGAUGUGAUUGG